GGCUCAUUGGUCAAGCGGUUAAGACACCGCCCUUUCACGGCGGUAACAGGGGUUCGAUUCCCCUAUGAGUCA
rnacentral:tRNA from 1 species